CGGGGGGCAUAGCCACAUUGAAACGGCUCCCCUGGGAAGGUUUCCUGGUAGGCUAAAGGGAAGAAGGAAGAAAGGACACUGGCAUUUGUUAAGCAACUGGAGUUGUGUUCUCCAUCUAUACCACAUUCAGUGAGUUUAGAGUUAUAAAAUCAGAAUGGCUUUAAUGUCUAGAGAUAGACAUAUGCCAUUCUAGUUUUAUAAUAAAUAAUAUAUGUAUGUAAUUCUUUAUCUUAGUGGUGGUUCAAAAUUUAGUGUCCAUAAGACUUACCAUAUAAUGAUUUGUGCGCAAAAAUCGAUUACUUAUGGAUACUUCAAGUGAUUUUCAAAGGUAAUUUCAACGUGGCUUCCGCUCCCCCCUUACUUAAUGACUUGAGAACCUAGCCACUGUGUCUCACUGUAUUCUCAUUUUAGAGAAUGAGAAAACAGGCCCAGAGAGUCUCAAUAAAUUGCUCAACUUUACCCAGCUAGUAAGAGGCUAGAGUUAGGAUUCCAAUCUAGGUCUGAUAGAUCUUGACAGGCAGAGUUGAUGGACAGAAUUUUAUCAUAAUAAAAGGUCUAACUAACCCUAAUUUUGAGAUAAUAUGCCUUUGUUUUAUUCUAAUAUAAAAUUUGCACCAUUCAAAUAUGUGUAGUUUAGUAUAGGCCUAUUGAACAGAAAUAAAUGGUAGCAGUGAGUCUUCCCCCUUUCAGGCCAUGUGUCUGUCUUUGAGGAGAUCACUAUGCCCAUAACCAUCUUACCACCUGUAGAGAAGACCUAAUCCAGAACAUAAAGGGUGCCUCCACACUAUUUUGUGGAAAAUUCAGGCAAAUAGAUAAAAGAGUUUACUAAGGCUUGAGAAAAUGCAACAAAGAAGAGUAUAAGUUUAAAAGGUAAUAAAUUUCAAGUCACCAUAGGCAUAUCAAGAAACUUUAAUAAGUUGGUACAGACUGAUUUGUGUUAAGCCGUGGUAGCUCUAAAGAAUUGUUGUUUUUAGGAAAGGAUGCUGUUACUGAAAAGGAAAACUGACCACUAAAAAUGAUCUGUGUAGACAUCUUGAUAAAUAUGUGAUUUUGGUUUGAAUCAAUUUGUCAUCAAGGACUUAAUUAUUUGGAGGGAUUGAGAAACCAGUAUCUGAGAACAGGAUGCCAAAUAGUGACACUUAGCCUGGGAGUAUCACCUUGUAAGGCCAUUUUUGAGAAGCGCAUGCUUUCAUCACUGUCAGAUCUGUCUGUUCUUUCUAAUUCCAACACUAGAGUAAUCCACAGCCACCCCAUAUCUUGAACAUCUAAACUGGCCAUGAAAAUAGACAGCAACUGCUUUUAGAGGGUAAGCAGAAUUCAUCAAGAGUGACAUUUAUUGGAUGCUUGCUGCACACAAAGUAGAGACAGAAGAAGUGAGCUUUAAGCAAGUGUACUCAAAACUCAGGUUGGGGUUUUCUACCUUUGGUUAGUGCUGGUCUUAUAUGGAGGUAGCCAUAUUAGUUAGGUGCUAAAGGCAACUGUGUUCUUCACUUCUUAAAUACUACUCUCACUGCAGGAGAUAAAGCCUUGUAUAGUUAUAGAUGCAUUUAAAUUCAUUUUCUGCUGGAACAGAUACCCGUUUGACUUUGAAGGAUAGGGGCAGAACACUGGGUCUUUUACAUAGCACUGAAGGAGGUGAGGAGAGAAAGUAACAGGACUAGUUUUGUUUCUCAUUUUAGAGAAACCAGUCCUACAUAUGGGACUUCUCAAGGUGGGCACAGAAAGAAAAUACUUUCUUCUUUUUCACUUCUUGCUUCACCUUUCAAAAAACAACUUUAAAAAUCUUUCCCAAGAAACUUUUCUAGAUUAAGCAAUAUGAAUAAUUAAAUGAAAAUACUGGGGUAAGGGGCAGGGCAGAGCAUAUGGUGGGAGAGAAAUAAAUCAGAACAUCCAAAACAGUCAGAACUUUGAUGUCUGGCUUCUGGGCCUAUUUUUAUUGUGAUGUUAAAUUCCAUUUCUAAAUAAAUACAUAUUUACAUCCUUUAACAAACACUCUGGACCCUGGAGAUAUAAAGAUGAAGAAGAUAUAGAUAGAUAAAGACGAAGAAGAUGAUGGAGAUAUAAAGAUGGUUCUUGAGUGGCUCACAGUACAACAGAGGAGUAGACAUAAAAAGAAACAAAUAUGGCACAGUGACAGGUGCAGGAAGCAUGGUGACUGGAUUCUGCAGAAACAGAUAUCUUGCCGACACAUUGAGACUUUGAGUGAAGUCUGCAUGGAAGAGAAUGGAACUGAGAGAUGGAAAGAUACUGAGUCCCAGUGACAUCUGUUGAGAUGCUGCAUCACACUGGACUGGAUAUGAAGAUGGAGCUACCCCUGUGCUUUUCAGAUACCUAAGUCAAUAAAUCCCCUUGCUUGCUUAGAUAAGUUUGAGUUAGGUUUUCUGUUACCGGCAGCAAGAGAGUACUAUAUUGGAUAUUUCCCAUCUGCUCUCCAGAUUCAAGCUACUCUUUUCCACUUUUCUCUGUGCCCCAAGGCCUGACCUAUGUGCACUGCAUCAAAGAGCUCAUUGGCCCUCUGGCUUCUGAUUGUGUUCAGCCAAAGGAAAUCUCUCUAGAGAGUGAGGUCAGCACAUUUAUUCUCUAGGGCAGGGGUGGGGAACCUGUGGCCUCAAGGCCACAUGUGGACAUCUAGGUCCUU